rnacentral:rRNA from 1 species
AGAGUGAACGCUGGCGGUAGGCCUAACACAUGCAAGUCGAACGGCAGCACAGUGGUAGCAAUACCAUGGGUGGCGAGUGGCGGACGGGUGAGGAAUACAUCGGAAUCUACCUUUUCGUGGGGGAUAACGUAGGGAAACUUACGCUAAUACCGCAUACGCCCUUCGGGGGAAAGCCGGGGAUCGCAAGACCUGGCGCGGAUAGAUGAGCCGAUGUCGGAUUAGCUAGUUGGUGAGGUAAUGGCUCACCAAGGCGACGAUCCGUAGCUGGUCUGAGAGGAUGAUCAGCCACACUGGAACUGAGACACGGUCCAGACUCCGUACGGGAGCAGCAGUGGGGAAUAGUUGGACAAGUGGGC